rnacentral:lncRNA from 1 species
CAUGCAAAACAAGAGGGCAUGAUGGGUAGAUAAUAAGAUUAAGUCCUUGUUUUGUUGGACACCUGAAGAUUUCAGAACGUAUAGGCCUCAUGGCAUGCCGCCUCACUCUAACCUUGAGUAUGCUACAUUGCACGAUGUCUUCCAUGUUUUCGUGAUUCGAAAGCAUCUCUACAAACCAUCCCAUCACAUUUUGUGCCCAAGAGCCCCUCUUUGUUCAGACAAAACUUAUGCAGCAUAUCCUAUGGAGAUCAUCGAAUGGGAUGAGGACAUGAGACACGAUCGAAAAGUUUCGAUGGUCAAGGUGCACUAGUAACACCAUACCUAGGAGGCGACAUGGGAGGAUGAAAGG